UACGGAGGGUGCAAGCGUUGUCCGGAUUUAUUGGGUUUAAAGGGUGCGUAGGUGGUUUAGUAAGUCUGGUUUGAAAGCUGGUCGCUUAACGAUCAGAUGUGGCUGGAAACUGGUAAACUUGAAUGCGUUGGCGGUAGCCGGAACGGGUCAUGUAGCGGUGAAAUGCAUAGAUAUGACCCAGAACACCGAUUGCGAAGGCAGGCUACUACGACGUGAUUGACACUGAGGCACGAGAGCAUGGGUAGCGAACAGG
rnacentral:rRNA from 3 species